GAGUUCCAAACAGGCUUUUCUGUACUGCAGACAAUCAAAACACAAUCAGUCAACAUUGUAGAACUUAAAAGACAAGUUGACAGAAAAUUAACAAAAAGAGUAGAAAAAGAAUAAAAAGAACUGCCGAGCAAUGAAGACUUAAAAGAAGAUAUUCUCUUGCAGGGAAGAAUUUUGAACAUUAAGCUGACAAGUUAACCCAAAUAUCAGGUCAUUGAAGCAUGUUAAAACAUGAAACAUGUUGGUCAACUUCAUUCUUUUCCGAAAAGUAACACAAAAAACAAGAAUGUUUAUAGGUAACUUCAUAUAUGAGCAAAUUUCAUGAAAAUAUGAUUAGCUACACACUAGUUGCAGGCAAUUUCACCCUCUUAAUUAUUGAUGCAAUGACAAUAUCAUUAUCAUAAAAGAAUUAUCCUUAGCCCCUAAAUUGAUUGUACAAUAUGAUUGUGUAAUACAUUCAAUCCUCUCACAAAGCAUUACGUCCCAUUUGUAGGACUCCUCUACAGACCCCACAUCAAUGUAGGCGCAGCAGAGAAGUAUGCUCCAAUCCUAUCUAAUAAUCUUUACGUCUAAAUUAAGAGGCCAACCAAUAAUAAUUUGAAAAAUUAUUACAUAAAACGGGAAAUGAUAAACCUCCCUCACUUGCAUGCUUGUGAGACCCACUAAUGCAGUUGAGAUGGGGAGCACCAACUCCAGUCGAGUACAGUAAUUUUCAAUAACGAUAUAGUUGAUUAAUAUAUAGUUAAAAAACACAAAUUAAAAUGCUAUAUCCUGAUUAAUUUUGCGUCAAAGCUUCCAAAUUCCUUCGUAAU
rnacentral:misc_RNA from 1 species